AUUGAACGCUGGCGGCAGGCCUAACACAUGCAAGUCGAACGAGUGGCGGACGGGUGAGUAAUGUCUGGGCAACUGCCCGAUGGAGGGGGAUAACUACUGGAAACAGUGGCUAAUACCGCAUACCAUCGGAUGUACCCAGAUGGGAUUAGCUAGUAGGUGGGGUAAAGGCUCACCUAGGCGACGAUCCCUAGCUGGUCUGAGAGGAUGACCAGCCACACGGGAACGGAGACACGGUCCAGACUCCUACGGGAGGCAGCAGUGGGGAAUAUUGCACAAUGGGCGCAAGCCUGAUGCAGCCAUGCCGCGUGUAUGAAGAAGGCCUUCGGGUUGUAAAGUACUUUCAGCGAGGAGGCGUUACUCGCAGAAGAAGCACCGGCUAACUCCGUGCCAGCAGCCGCGGUAAUUC
rnacentral:rRNA from 1 species